rnacentral:lncRNA from 1 species
UCACUAAUUUAUCAGAUCCCUCCACUCUCUAGGAAGAAAACAAAAAUCCUAACGUGACAAAAGAUUUCUAGUGGAUGCUACGAUCCCAUCGAUGCCAUGCACCUUACCUAACAGUUAUUGGUAACAUACACACCGAUGCGUAGACACCUCUUUGCCCAAAUGCUUCUCUAAGCAUAUUGCAGUGAGUUGGUCUCUAAGUCAUGUGGGCUCACCUAACAGUUGUUGCCUACACUCCUUAGUUAAGCCUGACCCACCGUUCAUAAGUAGAUGCAAGGCCGUCAUUAAGUCCCUCAUCUAAUAGUUAUUGGGCCCAAUCCCAUCCUUA